GCGCACGGUGGAUGCCUUGGCACUAGGAGCCGAUGAAGGACGGGACAAACACCGAUAUGCUUCGGGGAGCUGUAAGUAAGCGUUGAUCCGGAGAUUUCCGAAUGGGGAAACCCACUGUCCGUAAUGGGGCAGUAUCCAUACGUGAAUCCAUAGCGUAUGGAGGGCAUACCCGGGGAACUGAAACAUCUAAGUACCCGGAGGAGAAGAAAGCAAAAGCGAUUCCCUAAGUAGCGGCGAGCGAAACGGGAACAGCCCAAACCAAGAGGCUUGCCUCUUGGGGUUGUAGGACACUCAAUACGGAGUGACAAAGGAACGGAGUAGACGAAGCGGUCUGGAAAGGCCCGCCAGAGGAGGUAACAGCCCUGUAGUCGAAACUUCGUUCCCUCCUGAGUGGAUCCUGAGUACGGCGGGACACGAGGAAUCCCGUCGGAAGCAGGGAGGACCAUCUCCCAAGGCUAAAUACUCCCUAGUGACCGAUAGUGAACCAGUACCGUGAGGGAAAGGUGAAAAGUACCCCGGGAGGGGAGUGAAAGAGAACUUGAAACCGUGUGCUUACAAGUAGUCAGAGCCCGUUAAUGGGUGAUGGCGUGCCUUUUGUAGAAUGAACCGGCGAGUUACGUUCUGAUGCAAG
rnacentral:rRNA from 11 species